rnacentral:misc_RNA from 1 species
CCCAAAGUUAAAUAUGUACAUUAUCAUUAAGUAAAUGAUGAUAUUAAAUUACACUGCCAAGCAAUAGCAGCAAGUAUAUACUUUCAACAAAAAAGAAAAUUUUGAUAAGAUCAUAGUAUUUCUGGACUUGUCUCUCUUCUAAUAGACUCCCCUCUGAUAUGCACUUUCACAGAACUCUCCCCCAAGAUCAUCGCAAGCCUCUGCGCAGAAAACCGUCUUUGCUUCAUUGUACUCCAGAUACUCCCUUUCAAAAGGCUCUGAAGGAAUUCUAGCUGCUUCAUUUCUGGCAUCGCUUUCAAGCCUUACUUCAGGAAAUAUGUCUGCCAAGCAGGCAUCUCCGCCGAUGGUUUCACAUGCUUCCGCUGGAAAUACAGAGAUCACAGAGCUGUAAUCAACGGUGGUGGAUGCGUCAGUGUCAUAAGCCACAGUAGCAGCUGCUUUGAUUGCAGAGCCACGGGGAGCAACAGAUGAAGCACCCAACUUUGGAGGAGAAAGGGUCACCUGAGAGAAGUUCUUGGAGGGUUUUAGAGGAAGAACAGGAGGUGCAAUGCUCAAAGCUGCCUGCAUCUUGACAAUGCUGUGUUAGUGAGAUACGGUGUUGGGUGAUUCACAGGUAGAGCGUGGGCUCCAAUUUAUAGAAUACUUGGUAAGAGCACGAUACUUAACGUGCUUUUUGGAUAAGGGUUACAUUUUCAAUGGAAGAGAUGGAGAAACUUUAGCAGGUUCCCAUCACCUAGGAGAUAUUUUUAUAUCUUUCAGAUAUUUUACCUUUAAUCAUGCUCAAAAUAAUAUCUAUACAUGCCUUGUCACUUGCUCAUGGGAUUGCAUUGUCUGUAUUUACCUUGUCAUGAUCAUGGCACCAAGACCCAUCAACAAUUCUUGACCUGAUCAUUUUGGUGAAAGAACUAUUUUUACUGGACCUCACCCAUCAAUUUAUUUGGUUCUAAGGGUAAUUCAGCUAAAAUAUUACCCUUGACCAAAACAACUGGGCCAUGGUCUUGGCCUUUGGGAACAUGUUAUUACCUGUAAGAACCUUAUGCUAAUCGUCCGGGUUCAAAAGAAAACAAGAUUUGACAUCACCUUCGAUAGGCUUGGCAAUUUAAAAAGCAUCGACCUCUUUGAUUCCAGAACCCAAACUGUUUGCCUUGCACCGUCACCUCCAUGUUGCAGUCUUUGAGAAUGGUCAAAGAUGACUUUAAGGCCAUUCUUGGAUACUAAGAUGAUGGAGAAAAUCAAGAUUCAGAUUAUUCCAAUCCAGUAAUUUGACUACAUAUGUAAAUGCAAUCGAGUCUCAUUUGCCACUAGAUAUAAUAUUUCAUCUGAAGUCCUGUUUCCCACAACUCUUAAUUCUUCACGAAGUAAAUAAUAGCAAGGUAGCUGUGAGGUUAAGAUCCUACCAUUGUUUCUCUGUCACCAACAUAGUUGCAGGGAAAUAUUUCUUGCUCUAAGAUAUAUAUUCAAUCACAAUUUCCUCGUGAAUAAAUGCACACAUAAUAGUUCAACAUCGCGAACUUGGGCAGUGGGCUAUAACAGUAUUGCAACGCGACAAAAUUUCAUUAUAUGAUGACAGCAAGUUAAAUAGUUUCAAAAAGUAAAAUGAUAUAGCUCAAAAUGAACCAGCAAACCCUCAAACCACUGAAUUUGAUGCUCUCUCGAAAAUCCUUAAAUGCUAAAAUGCAUUGAAGCAGUACACAUGUCAAACCUGGUGAACCACUAUAUAAAGAAUGCUCAACAAAUACUCACAUUGCAGUUUCAAUGAACAACGAAACAUUGCCAAUCGAUAAUCCCUCAGAAGAAUUCUCAAAAAGCAGGAGGGUUUUGACCAGUGAAUUGGCAAACACUGUCUCCUUUGCGUGUGUAGAAGUUGAAAAAUCCUAUAAUGCCACUUUCUCCGAUGAGAAAUACAGUAGUAGUUUGUAUUUCAUGUUAUACCCCUUGCACAUGGAUAUGUUGCUACAAUGGGUAAAUUUCAAGAAUUUCAUUGGGGACAGCUGUUAAAUAUUUAAUCACUUCACUUGAGUCAUUAAAUUAUUGUGGCAGGGGCAGAACUAGAAGUUUAUAUUUGGGGGGCCAAAAAUAAAUAUUGAAAAGAAAAUAAAAAAAAAAUAUGAAUGAAUUUUACAUAAAAGUGCAAAGGUCAAAACAAAAAUAAAAAUAUUGGAGGGGCAAAUAGUAAUUUUUUUAAAAAAAAUACACUAAAUUUUAUAGGUAAAAUUUUAAAAUUAAAAAUUAUGGGUAAAAAUAUAAUUUUUAAAACUUUUGGGCCCCCUCCCCAAGUUAGAAUGUAGUUCCGCUCCUAUUAGAUGGAUACUAUAAUCCAACCACUAUUAUCAGCAAAUGAUACAUUGGCAAUAUUGUGUGAACCAUCUGAUUUUACUUGUUGAUUCCAAGGGACUGGGUAUUGUGGAAAAACCUGCAUUGGUCACCUUUUUAUAUUCAGGUUGGGGUGGCAUCAUUUGUCAUGAAACUUUUUUGAAUGUUGAUUGAAUGUGGUAAGCAUCUAUAUAUAUCUGUCAAUGUGGAUAGCUAUCAUGCUUGCUACUGCUUAUCUCACAUCAAAGUGAAAAAUUUUAAAGGAAUCUGUCCUUGAAUAAAAUUUGCAAACUCAAGAUGUACAACUUUUCAACAUGCAAUGCUAUGCCAUGUAGAAAUUUCUUGUGGCCUAUGAUUCCCCAGGCCAGGUACUGCUAUGAUCUCAGAAACUAUAAAUCAAAUAUUUUGGGUGCUUCCUUUUCCUGUUUACACAAUUUAUUUCUGUAUUGUGCUUAUUAUAUUGUCUUUUGAGUGCUGAUUGCUAUACAGAUUGGAAAUCCAGAAGGAACGAGUUGGUAUGUGCAUAUAUUUUUAAUUUUGCUUGAAGCUUUAUAUAUGUUUACAUAUUUUACUGAUCUUUUGAUAAGACUAUCAACAGCUAACAUUUUGUGAUCAUAGUUUGUCAUACAAGGGUACAACGUAAUGUCAACUUGGAGAAGCUACAAAAUGGCUAUCUGUUUCCUGAGAUUUCAAUGCAUGAGCUUCAACACAUCAGGAAGUACCCAGAUGCAAAGUUGAUAAACCUUGGAAUUGGUGAUACCACAGAGCCUAUACCUGACAUCGUAGCAGUGAGCAUGGCUGAAUAUGCACAUGCCCUGUCAACGGUAGAAGGUUAUAGAGGAUAUGGAGCUGAGCAAGGGAACAAGGCACUGAGAAAAGCAAUUGCAGAAACACUUUACAAAGAUGUCCAGGUAAAAGACUCAGAAGUUUUUGUGUCAGACGGCUCACAGUGUGAUAUCACCCGCCUUCAGCUGCUUCUGGGUUCCAAUGUGACUAUGGCAGUGCAGGAUCCAUCAUUUCCAGUAAUACUUUCUGUUUCUUUUUAUUAGAUUUUAAUUGUUUUCUUCAAUUUCUGGUAGUGUAAUGGAAGAGGAUGUCCAAAUCUUAAAAUGCCCAACAUACACAUAUGAUGACCUUUAUUCCUUUCCCAUAUAUUUUUGUUUUCUUCAUCAGUUUGAUUGUGUUUGUACACUAGUUAGUAUAUAUUGAUUGGAGGGUUAUUGAAUAUUGAUUGUGUUUGGACAGUUUGCUUGAAUGUUAGAUGUAGAAGCUUUGUAUUGACGCAUGCGUUAUUUACAAUAUGCAAUUCUUUAUGCUCUUUAAUUUCCUCGAGCUAGUAUUAAGCUAAAUAUUAAUUUGAAACAUAAUAUUUAAUUGCCAGAAAAUUUUUUUGGCAGAGCCAGCCACGGUCCGAUUCUGAGUUGGAAUUGGAACUGGACCAGUGGUUCUGAUUCCAAGGGGAAUGGGAGUGGAAAUAAGGGUCCUCCAGAUUCCCGUCCUGGUUCGGUCUAGUUUUGAUUAAAUCCAUCAGUUAUUAUUAUUAUUUUUUAAA